GAUGAACGCUGGCGGCGUGCCUAAUACAUGCAAGUCGAGCGAACAGACGAGGAGCUUGCUCCUCUGACGUUAGCGGCGGACGGGUGAGUAACACGUGGAUAACCUACCUAUAAGACUGGGAUAACUUCGGGAAACCGGAGCUAAUACCGGAUAAUAUAUUGAACCGCAUGGUUCAAUAGUGAAAGACGGUUUUGCUGUCACUUAUAGAUGGAUCCGCGCCGCAUUAGCUAGUUGGUAAGGUAACGGCUUACCAAGGCAACGAUGCGUAGCCGACCUGAGAGGGCGAGCGGCCACACUGGAACUGAGACACGGUCCAGACUCCUACGGGAGGCAGCAGUAGGGAAUCUUCCGCAAUGGGCGAAAGCCUGACGGAGCAACGCCGCGUGAGUGAUGAAGGUCUUCGGAUCGUAAAACUCUGUUAUUAGGGAAGAACAAAUGUGUAAGUAACUAUGCACGUCUUGACGGUACCUAAUCAGAAAGCCACGGCUAACUACGUG
rnacentral:rRNA from 1 species